UACGAAGGGUGCGAGCGGUCAUCGGAAUAACUGGGCGUAAAGCACGCGUAGGUGGUUGAGUCAGUCAGCUGUGAAAGCCCCGUGCUUAACCUGGGAACUGCACCUGAUACUGCUUGACUAGAGUACGGUAGAGGGCAGUGGAAUUUACUGUGUAGCGGUGAAAUGCGUAGAUAUAGGAAGGAACACCAGUGGCGAAGGCGACUGCCUGGACUGAUACUGACACUGAGGUGCGAAAGCGUGGGUAGCAAACAGG
rnacentral:misc_RNA from 1 species